UACGUAGGGGGCAAGCGUUAAUCGGAAUUACUGGGCGUAAAGCGUGCGCAGGCGGUUAUGUAAGACAGAUGGGAAAUGCCCGGGCUUAACCUGGGAACUGCAUUUGUGACUGCAUGGCUAGAGUGUGUCAGAGGGGGGUAGAAUUCCACGUGUAGCAGUGAAAUGCGUAGAUAUGUGGAGGAAUACCGAUGGCGAAGGCAGCCCCCUGGGAUAACACUGACGCUCAUGCACGAAAGCGUGGGGAGCAAACAGG
rnacentral:rRNA from 1 species